rnacentral:tRNA from 1 species
GUCCCUGUAGCGCAAUGGUUAGCACGUUGGACUUCUAAUCCAAAGGUCAUGGUUUCGAAUUCCACCUGGGAUG